rnacentral:lncRNA from 1 species
AUGGGGGUGGGUGAGCUGCCCCCCAGGUGCUGGGGCCUGGUGGGGCUCCUCCUCCUGCAGGAAGGGGUUUGGCCAGGUCCAGAGCUCUGCAUGAGGAGCUGGGGCCACAGAGGAGGAGGAUUAUGUUCGUUCUUGCUAUCCCAGGCUGUGCUGAGGAGCUAUAUCGGCUGGGCCAGGCUGCCGUGCUGGCACGCCGAUGCUCCUGGCUGUGCUGGAGUGCUGCAUCUCCACGAGGAGAAGACAUCUCCAAGGAGCUGGGAGGCUGUGACCAUGAGAUGCUGGUGCAGAGCCCUGCACCUCCUCAAGGUGUGCAGCUUGACCCGAGCCACGGAGAGGAUGGGGAACAAGGCCAGGGACACCGCACCGAGCUCCCCGCUCCCUUUGGGAUUGGGGUCAGAAGGGACUGCAGGGGAGGGACUGGCACCUCUUGUUUGUCGCCUUCCUCCAGCAGAGCUGCUGGCCCAGGUCCGCCUCGGCAGAUCUCUCUGGGCGGCAGCGAUAGGGAGGGAAGAGAGAAACGCAGCUGGAUUUUCCCAGAGUUUGCAGCCAAAUCUUCUGAAUUGCAAAGUGAACAGCUCAGAUUUUGGAAGGCUCUGAGGAGGAGUAAAUGUGAAAAGCCAAGAUUUUUUUUUUUUGCUUUGUCAUUUUUCUGCCUAUAAUGUUGUUUUAUGGGGCCGUGAGUCACCUCACGCAACGAAAUGAGCCAUCCUUACCACUGAUGAAAAUAAGGAAUAUUGAACAUGAUACUUAUCUGGGUUUCAUCAGGCGGGAUUCUUGGGGUUCGGUGCUUCUAGUAUUCUGUGUGCUGGACAAAUGCUGGAGAAAAAUUAAGAUUUUGGUCUUGGGGGCCUUAUGUGUGUGGGCUGGUUGGCGUCAUGCUGGUGGCGUUGGGUGGUGGAGGGAUGGGAUGGGUGGGGGGUGGUGGAGGAAUGGGAUGGUUGGGUUGGGGAUGGUGGAGGGAUGGAUGGGAUGGGGGCGAUGGUUGGGUUGGGCGUUGUGGAUGGAUGGGUGGGAUGGGGGUGAUGGAUGGGUUGGGCUGGGGGUUCUGGAUGGAUGGAUGGGUUGGGUUGGGAAUGGUGAAUGGAUGGGAUGGUUUGGGUUGUCUGGACCCGGCCGGGAUGGUUUGGGUAGCAGGAGGGUUAUUUUGUGAAACAGGCUGCGGAUAUCGGAGGGGAACAGGGCAAGGGGCUCCCGAGGGGACCCAUGUGAGCAUCACCACACGGGUGACCCACACGCAGCCUUCCUCACGCGAGGAAGAGGAGGAGGCGGCUGAGCCUUGGCGCGCCUCCUGCUCCCAUCCUUGCUCUACACCCCCCCGGGGGGCUGCGCGCCGAGGACCCCCCCCCAUGCCCCUACCCCCGGGGGCGGGUCGGGGCCGCGGGACGGGUGCGGGUGCGGG